rnacentral:rRNA from 1 species
CACGUAGGCGGACUCUUAAGUCGGGGUGAAAUCCUGGAGCUCAACUCCAGAACUGCCUUCGAUACUGAGAGCCUUGAGUCCGGGAGAGGUGAGUGGAACUGCGAGUGUAGAGGUGAAAUUCGUAGAUAUUCGCAAGAACACCAGUGGCGAAGGCGGCUCACUGGCCCGGUACUGACGCUGAGGUGCGAAAGCGUGGGGAGCAAACA